UACGGAAGGCAGCAGUGGGGAAUAUUGCACAAUGGGCGCAAGCCUGAUGCAGCCAUGCCGCGUGUAUGAAGAAAGGGCCUUCGGGUUGUAAAGUACUUUCAGCGGGGAGGAAGGCGGUGGAGUUAAUAGCUUCACCGAUUGACGUUACCCGCAGAAGAAGCACCGGCUAACUCCGUGCCAGCAGCCGCGGUAAUACGGAGGGUGCAAGCGUUAAUCGGAAUUACUGGGCGUAAAGCGCACGCAGGCGGUCUGUCAAGUCGGAUGUGAAAUCCCCGGGCUUAACCUGGGAACUGCAUUCGAAACUGGCAGGCUAGAGUCUUGUAGAGGGGGUAGAAUUCCAGGUGUAGCGGUGAAAUGCGUAGAGAUCUGGAGGAAUACCGGUGGCGAAGGCGGCCCCUGGACAAGACUGACGCUCAGGUGCGAAAGCGUGGGGAGCAAACGAGGAUUAGGAUACC
rnacentral:rRNA from 1 species